rnacentral:rRNA from 1 species
UACGAAGGGGGCUAGCGUUGCUCGGAAUUACUGGGCGUAAAGGGCGCGUAGGCGGACAGUUUAGUCAGAGGUGAAAGCCCAGGGCUCAACCUUGGAAUUGCCUUUGAUACUGGCUGUCUUGAGUUCGGGAGAGGUGAGUGGAAUGCCGAGUGUAGAGGUGAAAUGCGUAGAGAUGUGGAGGAACACCAGUGGCGAAGGCGACUCUUUGGCCUGUAACUGACGCUGAGGCGCGAAAGCGUGGGGAGCAAACAGG